CCUACGGGAGGCAGCAGUGGGGAAUAUUGGACAAUGGGCGAAAGCCUGAUCCAGCCAUGCCGCGUGUGUGAAGAAGGUCUUCGGAUUGUAAAGCACUUUAAGCUGGGAGGAAGGGCAGUAAGUUAAUACCUUGCUGUUUGACGUUACCAGCAGAAUAAGCACCGGCU
rnacentral:rRNA from 1 species